GCAUUAAUGGGGUAGUGGUAACCUGGGUCGUUGCCAUUAGUAGCAGCUUUCGACCCGCCGGGGGUUCGAUUCCCUCUUAAUGCA